CAAAUACUCCCUCCGUCCGGAAAUACUUGUCAUCAAAAUGGAUAAAAGGAAAUGUAUCUAGACGUAUUUUAGUUUUAGAUACAUCUCUUUUUAUCCAUUUUGAUGACAAGUAUUUUCGGACGCAUGGAGUAGAAA
rfam:Triticum aestivum genome assembly, contig: Triticum_aestivum_CS42_TGACv1_scaffold_164339_2DL